UGUUGGAGAAUUCAAGAAUGAGGUUGCUUUGGUAGCAAAUCUUCAACAUCGAAAUCUUGUGCAGCUGCUUGGGUUUUGCUUAGAGGGAGAAGAAAAUUAACUUGUCUAUGAGUUUAUAUUGAUAAGAGAACGCAGUUGGAUUGGUCAUGAUGUUACAAGAUAAUAUCUGGAGUUGCUCGAGGAAUGCUCUAUUUGCACGAAGAUUCUAGAUUGCGGAUCAUUCAUCGUGAUCUAAAACCAAGCAAUAUCCUGUUAGACGGUGAUAUGAACCCAAAGAUUUCAUAUUUCGGCAUGGCUAGGGUUUUCGGAGUAGAUCAAACUUGGGCAAAGACUAAUCACAUUGUGGGGACCUUUGGUUACCUAUCUCCUGAGUAUGCAAUGCGUGGGCAAAUCUCAGCAAAGUCCGAUGUCUAUAGUUUUGGUGUUCUAACCCUAGAGAUCAUUGGUGGCAAAA